GACAACUCGCGGGGAUUGUUUUCCACACCGUGGAAGCUUUGUUCUUUUCGUUUUUUGCAAUAAAUCUUGUUGCUGCUCGCUUUUUGGGUCCACAUUGCUUUUAUGAGCUGUACCACUCACCGUGAAGAUCUGCAGCUUCACUUCAGAGCCUAGCGAGACCACAAGCUCACUGAGAGGAACAAACAACUCCAGACGCGCUGUCUUAAGAGCUAUAACACUCACCGCGAAGGUGUGCAGUUUCACUCCUGAGCUAGUGAGACUACGAAGCCACUGGAACGAAGAAACUCCAACCACGUUUGAACAUCAGAAGGGGCAGACUCCAGACGCUUCAUCUUAAGAGCUGUAACACUCACUGUGAAGGUCUGCAGCUUCACUCCUGAGCCAGCGAGACCACGAACCGAUCUGAACAUCAGAAGGGACAGACUCCAGAUGCCCCACCUUAAGAGCUGUAAUACUCACUGCAAGGGUCUGCAGCUUCAUUCUUGAAGUCAGACCAAGAACCCAGCAAUUCCCAACACACAGGGACCAGCUUCUUUCCUAACUCACUUAGGCUCUUCGUGCUGCUCUGGCAACUAACACCCUUGGCUGCAGGGGCUUGGACACUACCCUUAGUCACUGACAAUUGUGUGAAGGCUGCUGUCGUUAACUUCACUUGAUCACCUUAGGCUCCUGUGAAGUGGUGAGCAAUUCAAACAAAUUCCUGUCGUCAAAUCAUGAGUCCACCUGUCCCGAGUUGGAAGUCUGAACUCAUGUUCCUGGAUUCCUCCCAUGCAUCUUGGUGCUGGUGUGGGGCCUGAACUCAGCCAAUCCGCAACACCUCCAGGAGUCUUCCUCUUAGAUGCUGAGGCCACGGAGAAGGAAGCAGCACAAAGAAUGAACCCUGGAGAGGGUGCCAGAGGCAGGCGGGUUCCAGCCAUGUGGCGGCACAGCCUUACUGGGAUAGUCUAGCUGUGUCACUCAGAAUCCUGAUUUUGUUUGGAAGGACAGCGUGCCUGGUUCCAGAUGGAGAAAUUGCACUGCAGAGAAAUCUUUAAAAGCAAUUACCUAAUACUGCAGAUUGCUGAACUGUACCCACACCCAAGACUGAGCAUUGGAUCAAUCCAGAAUAUACAUCAGGUGUUCUGCAAUGUCUGCCUAAAACCAUGACUCUGCCUCCUCCAGCUGUUGCUACAUCUCACUAUGGGUUUCCUGUGACAUUUUGAGCAAGUAUGCCUCUGUGACUGGGGUUCUUACACUCCAGAAUGGAUGAGAAGCACCGUAAGUGGCUUUUAAAAUGAAUAUUCCCUGGCCCUUCAGUCGCUCUAUAGGUCAAGAAUCUGAAUUCUCAACCUGUCUAGAAGGUUCUGGUUUUAAUGGUCUGUGGGCUGCACAUUGAGAAACCUGUUCAGCGAGUGCAACAAAGGUUCCACAUGUGAGAAAGGAAGCAUCAGGUCUCUUGAGCCUGUUCUUUAAUCUGUAGGCUGCACCUUCUCUUUAAAUUCUGCUAAUAACACCAUGCGAGAAAACACCCGAGCUUGAAAAGCCCAUGUUCCAACAUAACUGUCCUUCACCACUCUGGAAAAUUAAUGGUUUGUUUCGAUUAUCCCUUUGUUAAACUCCAAAGUCAAAGAGCUCUGAAAGGCAUACGGUUAUUUUAAGUUUCAGGUGAUUUCUGUUGCCAAAUAUUUUAAAAAUUUAAAAUUGCUACGUGACCUCUUAGUAGUACUAUUAGAUUUCCUGACAAUAAAAAUAAGUCUUUUGGUUUCACCAUUUAUAGUUAGUA
ensembl:lncRNA novel transcript